AACGAACGCUGGCGGCAUGCCUAACACAUGCAAGUCGAACGAAGGCUUCGGCCUUAGUGGCGCACGGGUGCGUAACGCGUGGGAAUCUGCCCUUGGGUUCGGAAUAACAGUUAGAAAUGACUGCUAAUACCGGAUGAUGACGUAAGUCCAAAGAUUUAUCGCCCAAGGAUGAGCCCGCGUAGGAUUAGGUAGUUGGUGAGGUAAAGGCUCACCAAGCCGACGAUCCUUAGCUGGUCUGAGAGGAUGAUCAGCCACACUGGGACUGAGACACGGCCCAGACUCCUACGGGAGGCAGCAGUGGGGAAUAUUGGACAAUGGGGGAAACCCUGAUCCAGCAAUGCCGCGUGAGUGAUGAAGGCCUUAGGGUUGUAAAGCUCUUUUACCA
rnacentral:rRNA from 1 species